AUUGAACGCUGGCGGCAGGCCUAACACAUGCAAGUCGAGCGGAUGAAGGGAGCUUGCUCCUGGAUUCAGCGGCGGACGGGUGUGUAAUGCCUAGGAAUCUGCCUGGUAGUGGGGGAUAACGUCCGGAAACGGGCGCUAAUACCGCAUACGUCCUGAGGGAGAUAGUGGGGGAUCUUCGGACCUCACGCUAUCAGAUGAGCCUAGGUCGGAUUAGCUAGUUGGUGGGGUAAAGGCCUACCAAGGCGACGAUCCGUAACUGGUCUGAGAGGAUGAUCAGUCACACUGGAACUGAGACACGGUCCAGACUCCUACGGGAGGCAGCAGUGGGGAAUAUUAGACAAUGGGCGAAAGCCUGAUCCAGCCAUGCCGCGUGUGUGAAGAAGGUCUUCGGAUUGUAAAGCACUUUAAGUUGGGAGGAAGGGCAGUAAGUUAAUACCUUGCUGUGUUGACGGUACCAACAGAAUAAGCACCGGCUAACUUCGUG
rnacentral:rRNA from 1 species